AAUGAGAGACUGAGGGCCCAGGGAGUGGUGUCUGGUUUUGCAUGUGGGUGCGUGUGGAUGUGUGUGGAUGAGUCUCCUGUGGCUGCUGUGAAAAGGACAACAAACUCGAGGGCUCACACAGAAGUUCUCACGGUUCUGCAGGCUGGAAGGCUGAGAUCAAGGGUGGUUCCUUCUGGGGGCUGUGAGGGAGAAGCUGCUCCAGGGCAUUGCCCUGGCUUCUGGUGUUUGCUGGUCUCUUUGGCAUUCCUUUGCUUGUAGAAGUGUCCCCCCGACCCCGGCCGUCACCUUCACCUGGCGUUCUCCUUGUGUGUGAGUCGCCUCCAAAUCUCCCCUUUGCGUAAGGGCAGCGUUCAACCUCAUCAAACCCAUUACACCUGCAGCGGCCCUGUUUCCAAACAGGGUCACCUUCCGUGGUACUGCAGGGGUUAGAGCUUCAACAUGUGAAUUUUGCAAUUCUGGAUUCCACCUAUAACACUGGCUCGAAACAGCAAAUUUGUUCUCCCAGAGUUCUGGAGACCAGAAGUCCCAAAUCCAGGUGUGGACCGGGCCGUGCCCCCUCCACAGGUUCUAGGGGAGGGCCCUUCCUUACCUCGUCCAGCUUCUGGGAGCUCCAGGCUCCUUGGCCUGGAGUCUCUGCCUGCGUCGUCACGUGGCCCCUGCCCCUGUGUUCUGCGUGUCCUUUUCUGUCUCUGAAAGGACUCUUUCCUUGAGUUCGUCUGACCCUAAUCCAACAUGAUGUUACCUAAAUUCUUACCUUAAUGACGUCUCCAGAGACCUCAUUAAAUAAGAUCAUAUUCUGAGGUUCUGAGUGUAUGUGAAGCUGGGGACAGGCACACUUUAGCCCGUAAAGUGCUUGAGUGUGUGGAGUAUGAGGAUGAGAAAUGUGAGCUGAGGGAGUGGGAUGAGUGUGCCUGAGAGUGAGCACGUGGGUGUGGGUGAGUCCGUGGGCGCCUUCAGUGUGUGAGAGGGUGUGUGAGGACAUGCAUGUGUUAGUGGUGUUCCGGAGCGUCUGCAUGUAUUUACCGAGUGUGGGUGAGUCCGUGGGCGCCUUCAGUGUGAGAGGGUGUGUAAGGACAUGCAUGUGUUAGUGGCGUUCCGGAGCGUCUGCAUGUAUUUACCGAGUGUGGGUGAGUCUGCGGGCGCCUUGAGUGUGAGAGAGUGUGUGAGGACAUGCAUGUGUUAGUGGUGUUCCGGAGCGUCUGCAUGUAUUUACCGAGUUUGAUGGGCAAGCGGCUGAGAGUUUGUUGUAAGCAUGGUCUGUUUGAAUUGUGUGGGUGUGUGCGUGCAUUCAAGCGAGUGGUGUGUAUGUCCAUGAGGGCAUACAAGUGGGCAGGUGACUGCAUGCAGGUGAAGUGGGAGCGAGCGCCUCAGUGCAUUUGAGCCACUGUGUGUGUGAGGGUGAGCAAGAGGGAGGCAUGAGCGUGUGUCAGGGGAUUACUGGGAGUGUGAAUGAGAUGAAGUGUCAGUCAGGCUUGGUGAGUGGGUGAGGCACAAGUGUAAGUGUGCACGAGUGUGAGCAUAUGUGUAAAUGUGUAUGAGUGCCUUGUGUCAGUGUCAGCACGCAUGACGUGUUACUGUGAGUGCAUGUUAGUGAAUGUGAGCAUUUUGCUUGUGUCAGUGAGGGAGGUUGUAACAACACUACAGGCAUGAGUGUAAAGAGAAGUGGGUGUGAGUGUGGGCACAGGUGUGAGUGGGUGAGUCAUCACUUGUAACCAAUGUGCUUAGGAGUUUGAGUGCAUAUGUGAGCUUCGGGAUGCGUUGGGAGGG